GUAGGGAAUUUUGCGCAAUGGGCGAAAGCCUGACGCAGCAACACCGCGUGAAUGUUAAGCCCUUCGGGGUGUAAAGUUCUGUCAAUAGGGACGAAUUUUGACUGUACCUAUAAAGGAAGCACCGGCUAACUCCGUGCCAGCAGCCGCGGUAAUACGGGGGGUGCAAGCGUUGUCCGGAAUCAUUGGGCGUAAAGCGUUCGUAGGCGGCAAGGUAAGUCUGAUGUUAAAGCCCGGGGCUCAACUCCGGUUCGGCAUUGGAUACUAUCUAGCUAGAAUGUGGUAGAGGUAAAGGGAAUUCCUGGUGUAGCGGUGAAAUGCGUAGAUAUCAGGAGGAACAUCGGUGGCGAAAGCGCUUUACUGGACCAUUAUUGACGCUGAGGAACGAAAGCCAGGGGAGCAAAUGGG
rnacentral:rRNA from 1 species